UUUUGGCGGAUGCAGUUUGAGUUCUGAUUGUAAAAUAACCAGAUAUUUAGGACUGUCUUUAGAAAAUUUAGAGAAGAUCAAGUGGGUGACUGAAGAGAAUGUCAAGCUGAGGGCACAGCUGACUCCACAAUCAGGUUCUGAUAAACUGACUGAAGGGAAUGUCAAGCCGAGGGCACCGCUGGCACUACACUCAGGAGCCAUAAGGAACAAAUCCUUCCAACUGGGAUGAGGCUG